rnacentral:lncRNA from 1 species
AGCUGAGGUGGAACGGGCAGCUUGGGAGCUGGGCCCUGUGGCAGUGGCAGAGGGGGCUUCCAGCUGGGAAGAUGUCAGCAGACCUACCUGAGAGGAAGAGGUAGGAAAGGAGACAGACGCUGUCUCAGACUCUGGAUCCCACGGAUUCUGCAAUCGUCAGGAGUGCCACAGAGCAGGCUGUGUGUGUCUGUGCCGUGUCUCUGAGUGUAGAAGAAGCCGUUGACCUCUUGGUAUAAGGUGAAGCUUGCGCUUGCAUCACAGAUGAGGCAAUGAGAACUUGAUCUUGGAGUCCUGAAACUGCUGGAGGGCUGGCCCCGCAGCACAGGGUAGCUGCCAUCUCUUUCACCUUCAUGAUCUGGAUCACAGAGUGAGUGCACACUGUGCUGGACACCCAUGUCUUGGCGUGAUGGUGCCAGCAAUGGUUGGUCCGGUACUCACUGUCCAUGUGUAUG